rnacentral:ncRNA from 1 species
UUCUUCGGGGUUGGGUGUAAUUCCCUACUGGCGGUAAAGUCCGCGACCCGUGACAGGUGAGUGUCGGCUGCAUGCAGCAGCGACGGAUUCAACUGUCAUGGCUGACUCGGUGAAAGUCCGAGACCAACAGUAAAGUCUGGAUGAAAGAAGAA